rnacentral:rRNA from 1 species
AACGAACGCUGGCGGCAUGCCUAACACAUGCAAGUCGAACGAGACCUUCGGGUCUACUGGCGCACGGGUGCGUAACGCGUGGGAACCUGCCCUUAGGUUCGGAAUAACUCCCCGAAAGGGGUGCUAAUACCGGAUAAUGUCUUCGGACCAAAGAUUUAUCGCCUUUGGAUGGGCCCGCGUUGGAUUAGCUAGUUGGUAGGGUAAAAGCCUACCAAGGCGACGAUCCAUAGCUGGUCUGAGAGGAUGAUCAGCCACACUGGGACUGAGACACGGCCCAGACUCCUACGGGAGGCAGCAGUGGGGAAUAUUGGACAAUGGGCGAAAGCCUGAUCCAGCAAUGCCGCGUGAGUGAUGAAGGCCUUAGGGUUGUAAAGCUCUUUUACCCGGGAUGAUAAUGACAGUACCGGGAGAAUAAGCUCCGGCUAACUCCGUG